AUUCCAGCUCCAAUAGCGUAUAUUAAUGUUGUUGCAGUUAAAAAGCUCGUAGUUGGAUUUCUGAUGGGAUCGACCCGGUCGGCUCCGAAAGGGGUCGCACUGGUGGUCUGUCCGGUCAUCCUCGAGGGGAGGCUUUCUGGCAUUCAUUUGUUGGGGAGUCGACGCUCGUCGUUUACUGUGAACAAAUUAGAGUGUUCAAAGCAGGCUUAGGCCGUUGAAUACAUUAGCAUGGAAUAAUAAGAUAGGACUAUGGUACUAUUUUGUUGGUUUGUGCACCAUGGUAAUGAUUAAUAGGGACAGUUGGGGGUAUUCGUAUUCCAUUGUCAGAGGUGAAAUUCUUGGAUUUAUGGAGGACGAACUACUGCGAAAGCAUUUACCAAGGAUGUUUUCAUCA
rnacentral:rRNA from 1 species